rnacentral:rRNA from 1 species
AACGCUAGCUACAGGCUUAACACAUGCAAGUCGAGGGGCAGCAUGGUCUUAGCUUGCUAAGGCCGAUGGCGACCGGCGCACGGGUGAGUAACACGUAUCCAACCUGCCGUCUACUCUUGGACAGCCUUCUGAAAGGAAGAUUAAUACAAGAUGGCAUCAUGAGUCCGCAUGUUCACAUGAUUAAAGGUAUUCCGGUAGACGAUGGGGAUGCGUUCCAUUAGAUAGUAGGCGGGGUAACGGCCCACCUAGUCUUCGAUGGAUAGGGGUUCUGAGAGGAAGGUCCCCCACAUUGGAACUGAGGCACGGUCCAAACUCCUACGGGAGGCAGCAGUGAGGAAUAUUGGUCAAUGGGCGCAGGCCUGAACCAGCCAAGUAGCGUGAAGGAUGACUGCCCUAUGGGUUGUAAACUUCUUUUAUAAAGGAAUAAAGUCGGGUAUGUAUACCCGUUUGCAUGUACUUUAUGAAUAAGGAUCGGCUAACUCCGUGCCAGCAGCCGCGGUAAUACGGAGGAUCCGAGCGUUAUCCGGAUUUAUUGGGUUUAAAGGGAGCGUAGAUGGAUGUUUAAGUCAGUUGUGAAAGUUUGCGGCUCAACCGUAAAAUUGCAGUUGAUACUGGAUAUCUUGAGUGCAGUUGAGGCAGGCGGAAUUCGUGGUGUAGCGGUGAAAUGCUUAGAUAUCACGAAGAACUCCGAUUG